ensembl:lncRNA
GUGAAUCUCGCGUAAUCAUUACACGGAGCAGGUGUUUGGCAUUUCAAUUGCGCAAUAAUUUACUUAACGUGCGGGUGAUUAAAACUGCAGGGCGCGGUAUAUAAUGGGAUUUCAUACGUCUUUCCGGCAUGUGCAUACUAGAAUGGCGUAUGGGAAAAUACGGGAGAGUCUGUUCCUUAUACUAAUUUCUUUUGCAUGCAUUACUUUAGUACAGUGUGGACAUGUAGCACAAUUGUCUGAAAAUGAAAAAGCAAAUGAUGGUGGCGAAAUUAUAUCAGAACAAUAUAUGUUUGACCGCGACCGAUAUGAGGCUUUACCUGGUUUUGAGUAUCUUGGUGAUGACGCCAUUGUCUCAGGGCAAGUCAGUUCUUCUGAAGCAGCCUGGUAUGCCAUGUCUCCAGAUCUGAGGUGUGGUGAUGAUCUUAUGAAGUUGCAGCUCAGUGGUCCUGAAGUAGCACAAAUUGAGCUUUGUCGGGGUAAUGGGGCAGCUGUUCCCCUCAGUGAGUUGCCGCCUAACUGUGGAUCUACCAUACCCACUUAUGGUGGUCUUAUCUAUGCUACCCCCUAUGAUGGAUGUGGCGUUGCACAACAGGGAGGGAGUUAUGUGAUGCAGAUGCAAUGGCAGGGAAACCGUGCAGUCAUUUCUUGUCCUAUGACCUCUACAACUGCAAACGACACUUUUCUAGGACCUCAUGAUCCUUCAUAUCAGCAGAUUCUGCUGCCUCCCCUUUAUCCUGAUGAAUUUAAUCUACAAAUAAGUACAAUGCCAGAACUAUCUGCAGCUCUCAAACCGCCAUUUUAUGGCUACCCUGAAGAGUUUCAGCAAGGGUUUUGGCCUUACAACUACCCUCGUUACCAAUAUUCUGGCAAGGGUUAUCCCACAGCUGAGCCAGCAGGGCAAUCUCCAUCAGAUGCCCAAGUGCCAACCCAGAAACCUCAGUUUCCAAAGUACCCCCCUAUGAUGUGGCCAUAUCCCACAGCUAAGCCAGCAGGGCAAUCUCCAUCAGAUGGCCAAGUGCCAACCCAGAAACCUCAGUUUCCAAAGUACCCCCCUAUGAUGUGGCCAUAUCCCACAGCUAAGCCAGCAGGGCAAUCUCCAUCAGAUGGCCAAGUGCCAACCCAGAAACCUCAGUUUCCAAGGCACCCCCAUAUGUGGCCAUAUUACUACAGUGACUAUCAUGGCAAACCAAAUACCACUGUGAAACCAGCUCCAGCCAUCCCCACUCCUCUCCCACCAGAUUCGCCAGCAAUAAACCAGAAACCGCAACCCCCAGUGUACCCUGGAAGUCUAUUCCCUCAGCAUAGCCAUUACCCCAAUUUCCCAGAUUAUUUGCAGCAGUUUUAUCCACAAUACCCAGUGCAACCUCAGAAAACCCCUACCGCACCACCUAUAACCACCACUCCUCAACCCUGUACUACAACUGCAGCAGCUGAAUGCAAACCUUCUGCCAACCAGCCUCCCAAAGAGCCACCCCAAUACUAUAAACCACCCAGUUAUAUGCAUUAUGAAAAAGACCCAUUCGCACUUAAAUUUGUGGAUUUUUCAGAAUCUGAUAGGAAAUCUUUCCCACGAAAUUAAUGAGGACCGAGGACAGUAGAAUUAGGUGGGUUAUGUCUUCCAUGUGGCUUUGAAAAAGAUUGCCUCCUAAUGUUAAUAUAGGUUGUGUAUGGGGCGACUGUAAAGUGACUCCUGCUCAUUUGUUUUGUCCUUGUUCUCUCAAAUGAUUCAAUAAAUCAAAUGGUCAGACAUCCUUUGUCUUCCA